AAAGUAUGACAGCUCGAUGAGAAAAGACGGAAAGAAAGUAUGACUGCUCGUUGAGAAUAUACGGACUGAAAGUAUGACAGCUCGAUGAGAAUAGACGGAAAGAAACUAUGACAGCUCGAUGAGAAAAGACGGAAAGAAAGUAUGACAGCUCGUUGAGAAUAGACGGAAAGAAAGUAUGACAGCUCGAUGAGAAUAGACGGAAAGAAAGUAUGACAGCUCGAUGAGAAUAGACGGA
rnacentral:lncRNA from 1 species